GACGAACGCUGGCGGCGUGCCUUAUACAUGCAAGUCGAACGAGAAAGCGUCUUUCGGGAUGCGAGUAAAGUGGCGAACGGGUGAGUAACACGUAGGUAACCUACCUGUGAGAUGGGGAUAACCUGCCUAACGGCGGGCUAAUACCGAAUGAAGCACUGGGAGUAGAUUUCCAGUGUUAAAGAUAUCCGUAAGGUUAUCGUUCACAGAUGGGCCUGCGGCUCAUUAGCUAGUUGGUGGGGUAACGGCUCACCAAGGCGACGAUGGGUAGCCGGCCUGAGAGGGUGGUCGGCCACACUGGGACUGAGAUACGGCCCAGACUCCUACGGGUGGCUG
rnacentral:rRNA from 1 species